GACGAACGCUGGCGGCACGCUUAAAACAUGCAAGUCGAACGUGAAGCCCAGGCUUGCCCGGGUGGAAAGUGGCGAACGGGUGCGUAACACGUGAGCAACCUGCCCCGAAGACCGGGAUAACACCGGGAAACCGGUGCUAAUACCGGAUGUCUUCACCAUGUCGCAUGGCGAGGUGAAGAAAUGGAUUCCGCUUCGGGAUGGGCUCGCGGCCUAUCAGCUUGUUGGUGGGGUAACGGCCUACCAAGGCAACGACGGGUAGCUGGUCUGAGAGGAUGUCCAGCCACACUGGGACUGAGACACGGCCCAGACUCCUACGGGAGGCAGCAGUUAGGAAUCUUGCGCAAUGGGCGAAAGCCUGACGCAGCGAUGCCGCGUGCGGGAUGAAGGCCCUCGGGUCGUAAACCGCUUUCAGCAGGGACGAUUGUGACGGUACCUGCAGAAGAAGCCCCGGCCAACUACGUGCCAGCCGCCGCCGUAAUAC
rnacentral:rRNA from 1 species